GCGGAGAUAGAUCGACCCAACAACAGCUGAAUUGAUCAGCCGCUGCCGCCGAGCACGGCCUUGAGCUUCUUCACCUGCGCGUCGUCCAAGAAUGUCACCUUCUCCACGACGGCCGACGGCAGGUUGUUGGCGAAGAGCGCGUAGUCGGUGAUCUGCAGGCCCGGGUUAGGCCCGCUGAAGGCGACGAAUGCCACGGCGGUCGAGGCGCCCCCGUUGUACUGGUAGUGGAGCAGGCCCUGGGGGAACACCAUGGCGUCGCCCUUGUAGAGCGUCUUGGUGUAGACGGUGUUGGAGGAGGACGUGAUGAAGCCAGCCAGAAUGGUGCCCUCGACGACGAAGAGCAGCUCGGAGGCGGCCGGGUGGGUGUGCAGCGGCACGACGCCGCCCACGGCGAUGUCGAGCCGGGCCCCGGAGAUGCCCAGCCCGUUCACGCCCGGGAACUGGCCCACGAAGGCCGGGGUCACGGCCGCCUUGAUGAGGUUCGUGGUGUUGCCGGCAGCGGCGAGGCCGUGGUAGUAGAAGUCGCCCGAGCUGACGCUGCCGGCCGCCUUGCACGGGUAGCCUGCCGGGGUGUCGCUGCAGGACAGGUCCGCCACGCAGAAGUCCUGGGUCAGGGCCAGGGCGGAGAAGGGCAGGAUGAGGAAGGAGAGGAGCACCGGGAGCAACAUUGUUCUGGCCAUGGCUACUUGCUUAAUUGGACUGCUGGCUGCUGUGUGCUUCAAGGAUUGCUGCUGCUCGAGGGUAGGUGUGCAGUGCCGUUGGGGUGUUUAUAUAGGAGGAGAGAGCCGAGGGGCGCAGGACGUAGUACGUAGGUAGAGUAGAGAACAAUGUAACGUGAGAGAAUUUUGGCGAGGCGUGCGCCUGUGUUCACGUGCAUCGGUGCAUUGCACACUACUGUCAGGAUUUUCGGCGGAGGUACGAUCUCGAGGAGCCAGUGGACAAGCGUUUAGCUGGGCAUGGUCCAGGAGGUACGAUCUCGAGGAGCCAGUGGACAAGCGUUUACGUCUUUGAUGGAGGAAAGCUCUCGAAUUGCUGCAUUAUUAGGGAAGGGCACCAAGGACACGAUCGAUGAGCUUAUUUUACCACGACAUGCAUGGAUUAAUGGAUAGGCCGAACUCACUGUGUCUUUGUAUCGAACAUGCAGAUGUGCAGGCACUAGAUCUUCACAACAACGGUAACAUUUGGUGGUGUAGCUGUCUAGCUGAUGCAUGCCAGGUUGCAAAUGCACACGGGCAACCAAGCUAUAAUUUGUGUUUUCCUAUGGCGCCAAUGCCUGGUCCCAUGUAAGUCGGUGUCUUUUGCUGCUCAUCUUUCACAUACAUGCAAGUUCUGGAGGCAAACACUGCACCAGUCUUUGUUGCUUUGCAAAUGCAAAAGCAAAAUAUCAGUAGCGCACUAAUUAACGGAAAAGCCUACGUUGCUUAGGCAUAGCCUUUUGCCGGAGGCUUUCUAUCGGGCUUACGGCCAAAAGUCCAAUAGACCGUGGUCGCCGGAAAAGCCUUCGGCAAAGACAGAACCUACGUCAAAGGUUGCGCCAGGCCCACGGCAAAGAACAGCCUAGAGUGUGGAAGGCCCACGGCAAAACGAAGCCUACGGUAAAGAUUAAGAGAAGCCCACGGCAAAGCGUUCCUGCACAUGGGCUCGCCGCACGGACUGACGGCGCGCGAACGGCAAAGAAGGGUCCUCCAGUAGCGGCAUUUUGGGUAGCCACGCAUGUGGAAAUUUAACCGCGCGCUGCGACUUUCUUAAUGGUGGAAAAAUAUAUUCUGCUUCGUUCAAAAGGGUAAAUCUAGAGUCUCACUCUCUCAGGUACAAUAAGAAGUACAGUACGACGAAAUGGAUCCAUCAUGCAUGGUUGAUCCGUAGCGCAGUUGAUUCAACCCAGAGUCUAACUGUCACAAGGUACAAUACGAGUACCUCGAAAUGGCUCGUCAAGGUGGAUCCGUGGAGCAUGUACUUCAUUCAGGAAAAAAAAACUGACUCAGGAAAAGGAAUCUGGGACAGCCCAGGCUCAUCUCUUCCCAACUGAGCCCCCUUCUCGAAUUGUUCCAUGUCAUUUCUCGCACCAAUAUCAAAUCAACUAAGUUCUGUCCACCUCAUCGGGGUUUCGAUCUUGUAUCUUUAAAAAUUUCAUUUUGUUUUCAUCAAGAUUUCGUAAAAUAUAAUUUCCUUUAGUGUUUAGUUUUAUUUCAUUCAGGUUUUAAAAAAAGUCACAGUUUCGUUCUUCUUUUAUUGAAGUUUUGUUCGGAUUUCAUUAAAAUAUCACUGACAUGGAGCAAUUUGAAAAGGGGCCUCACGAGGUAAAUCAGUAGGUAGUUGACUCUACAUUAGUUCUAUUAAGUCGACUUUAAUUUAGUCUUAUUAAAUCCAUUAUGAUAUAUAUUUUCAUAGCAUACUUAUUUGAUAUUCUAGAUGCUGAUACAUUUUUAUAUGAACUUUGAUCAAACGAACUUUGAGUUAUGACAAAGUUAUGACUUCUUAUAUUUAGAAACGUAUAUGUGCAUCGAUUCGAUGCAGAGGCCGCGGAAAUCAUCCCCUUCUCGAAAAAAAAACAAAUUACAAUGACACCUACUAAGGAAUUAUUGACAGUUUCAAAUGAAAUUCAACAUGAACAAAACACAUCUUGACAAGAAAAAGAAAAAGAUCACGGACGUAUGUACGUCGUCCACACGAAAGGCGCGCAAGCAAAUUAAUCUGACACACGACCGGUGACACGGAUUGUAUGCGAGCGGAGAUAGAUCGACCCAACAGCAGCAGAAUUAGCCGCUGCCGCCGAGCACGGCCUUGAGCUUCUUGACCUGCGCGUCGUCCAAGAAGGUGACCGUCUCCACGACGGCCGACGGCAGGUUGUUGGCGAAGAGCGCGUAGUCGGUGAUCUGCAGACCCGGGUUAGGCCCGCUGAAGGCGACGAGGGCCACGGCCGCUGAGGCGCCCCCGUUGUACUGGUAGUGGAGCAGGCCCUGGGGGAACACCAUGAUGUCGCCCUUGUAGAGCGUCUUGGUGUAGACGGUGUUGGAGGAGGACGUGAUGAAGCCCGCCAGCACGGUGCCUUCCACGACGAAGAGCAGCUCGGAGGCGGCCGGGUGGGUGUGCAGCGGCACGACGCCGCCCACGGCGAUGUCGAGCCGGGCCCCGGAGAUGCCCAGCCCGUUCACGCCCGGGAACUGGCCCACGAAAGCCGGAGUCACGGCCGCCUUGAUUAAGUUCGUUGUGUUGCCGGCCGCGGCGAGGCCGUGGUAGUAGAAGUCGCCUGAGCUGACGCUGCCGGCCGCCUUGCAAGGGUAGCCUGCCGGGGUGUCGCUGCAGGACAGGUCCGCCACGCAGAAGUCCUGGGUCAGGGCCAGGGCUGAGAAGGGCAGGAUGAGGAAGGAGAGGAGCACCGGGAGCAACAUUGUCCUGGCCAUGGCGACAGUUGCUUGGGCUGCAG
rnacentral:lncRNA from 1 species